rnacentral:rRNA from 1 species
UACGAAGGGGGCAAGCGUUGUUCGGAAUUACUGGGCGUAAAGGGCGCGUAGGCGGCCGAUCAAGUCAGGCGUGAAAUUCCCGGGCUCAACCUGGGGGCUGCGCUUGAUACUGAUUGGCUUGAAUGCGGGAGAGGAUAGUGGAAUUCCCAGUGUAGAGGUGAAAUUCGUAGAUAUUGGGAAGAACACCGGUGGCGAAGGCGGCUAUCUGGCCCGUAAUUGACGCUGAGGCGCGAAAGCGUGGGGAGCAAACGGG